CACUUAAUGUCGUACCCUCGCUAUUUGUUAUCUAAGUUAAUGCCGUUUAGUUUUUAUCUCAGUAGUACCGCUAUCAAUUUAUCAAUAGGUGAUAAUGAGGUGGCAAACAUUAAUUUUUAAGCAUUUAGCUUUGGAGAAAUAUUAUGUCUAAAAUCACUGGUACAGUUAAGUGGUUCAACGAAUCAAAAGGUUUUGGUUUCAUCGAGCAAGAAGCGGGCGAAGACGUGUUUGUACACUACCGCGCGAUUCAAGGUGACGGUUUCAAAACUUUAGCAGAAGGCCAACAGGUUGAGUUCGACAUCGAGCAAGGCCCUAAAGGCGCGCAAGCUGCUAACGUUACUAAAGUAUAAUUUAUACUUUAACAGCGUUACAAAAGGCCGCUCUCUGAGCGGCCUUUUUUA
rnacentral:sRNA from 1 species